rfam:Ictidomys tridecemlineatus contig046208, whole genome shotgun sequence.
UGGGUUGUGGCUCAGUGGUAGAGCACUUGCCUGGCAAGUGUAAGGCACUGGGUUUGAUUCUCAGCACCUCAU